UGAGUACGAGAUGCUACGGCAUCGAAGCAGUCUAUGUCAUACUUCCAAGAAAAGCUUGCACUGUCAGAAACAGAUAAUGCCUGUACCAUAACCGACACAGGUGGGUAGGUAGAGUAUACUAAGGGGCGCGAGAUAACUCUCUCUAAGGAACUCGGCAAAAUGACUCCGUAACUUCGGGAGAAGGAGUGCCUUAUUUUUAAGGUUGCAAUAACAAGAUCCAAGCAACUGUUUACCAAAAACACAGGUCUCCGCUAAGUCGUAAGACGAUGUAUGGGGGCUGACGCCUGCCCAGUGCCAGAAGGUUAAAGAAGUCGGUUAGCAUUCGCGAAGCUGGUAACUGAAGCCCUGGUGAACGGCGGCCGUAACAAUAACGGUCCUAAGGUAGCGAAAUUCCUUGUCGGGUAAGUUCCGACCCGCACGAAAGGCGUAAUGAUUUGGAUACUGUCUCGGAGAGGGGCUCGGUGAAAUAGACUUGUCUGUGAAGAUGCGGACUACCUGCACCUGGACAGAAAGACCCUAUGAAGCUUUACUGUAACUUGAAAUUGAAAUUGGACUUUAUUUGCGCAGUAUAGGUGGGAGGCGUUGAAAAUAUUCUUGCGGGAAUAUUGGAGCCAUCAGUGAGAUACCACUCUUGUAAUGUUAGAUUUCUAACUUUAUAUCAUUAUCUGGUUAAAGAACAGUUUCAGGCGGGCAGUUUGACUGGGGCGGUCGCCUCCCAAAUGGUAACGGAGGCGCACAAAGGUUUCCUCUGAACGGGUAGAAAUCGUAUCUAGAGUGUAAAGGCAUAAGGAAGCUUGACUGUGAGACCUACAAGUCGAGCAGGGACGAAAGUCGGUCUUAGUGAUCUGACGGUGCUGAGUGGAAAGGCCGUCACUCAACGGAUAAAAGUUACUCUAAGGAUAACAGGCUGAUCUCCCCCAAGAGUUCACAUCGACGGGGAGGUUUGGCACCUCGAUGUCGGCUCAUCGCAUCCUGGGGCGGUAGUACGUCCCAAGGGUUGGGCUGUUCGCCCAUGAAAGCGGUACGCGAGCUGGGUUCAGAACGUCGUGAGACAGUUCGGUCCAUAUCCGGUGUAGGCGUUAGAAUAUUGAGAGGAGCCUUCUUUAGUACGAGAGGACCGAGAAGGACAUACCUCUGGUGUACCAGUUAUCGUGCCAACGGUAAACGCUGGGUAGCUAUGUAUGGAGUGGAUAACCGCUGAAAGCAUCUAAGUGGGAAGCCCACCUCAAGAUAAGUAUUCUC
rnacentral:rRNA from 1 species